CCUACGGGAGGCAGCAGUGAGGAAUAUUGGUCAAUGGACGAGAGUCUGAACCAGCCAAGUAGCGUGAAGGAUGACUGCCCUAUGGGUUGUAAACUUCUUUUAUCAAGGAAUAAAACGAGGCACGUGUGCCUUUUUGCAUGUACUUUAUAAAUUAGGAUUGGCUAAACCCGUGCCAGCAGCCGCGGUUAUACGGAGGAUCCGAGCGUUAUCCGGAUUUAUUGGGUUUAAAGGGAGCGUGGAUGGGUUGUUAAGUCAGUCGGGAAAGUUUGCGGCUCAACCGUAAAAUUGCAAUUGAUACUGGCAGUCUUGAGUACAGGUGAGGUAGGCGGAAUUCGUGGUGUAGCGGUGAAAUGCUUAGAUAUCACGAAGAACCCCGAUUGCGAAGGCAGCUUACUAAACUGUGACUGACAUUGAUGCUCGAAAGUGUGGGUAUCAAACAGGAUUAGAUACCCUUGUAGUC
rnacentral:rRNA from 1 species